AGCGGUCAUGGAGAGUCUCCAUCCAGCUGGAUCACUGUCACAGACAAACACACCACCACACCUCCACCUACAUCCACACCUCCCCCUACAUACACACUUCCACCUACAUCUGGACUUUCACUUACAUCGUCCUCUGCAUCAUUCGUCCCUGGUCUUCUUCCUGUCUUGCUGACUGUUGCAUCAGCCUGUACUGCGAUGCUGAGAUGACACGAUUACAGGAAACUCAAAGAUAAACAAGAAGGAGCUGGAUGAGACAACAUCACCAGUGUCAUCAUGCAUUUUCACCGUCUAUGAGGACAUUUUUAUCAAUGACAUUAUUAUUACUGUUUCUCUCGAUUGCAGAGACUCGUUUCUUAAAAUGAUGUCUCCUAAAACUUUCUACACAAGUUCACAACUACACAGCCACUUACAACAAAACCUCCAUUUACCAGGUUAAAAGCAAACUUUGCCUAAAUAUAUCACAUAAAGCCCUCAAAGCACACUGGAGUUCCCCACCCCUGCUCUAUGGCUGUUUUCUGCAGGGGUGGGGAACUCCAGGGCUCGAGGACCAGUGUCCUGCACGUUUUAGAUGUGUCCUUGAUCCAACACAGUCUUUAAGUUCUCCACAGGCCUAGUAAUGAACUAAUCCUUUGAAUCAGGUGUGUUAACCCAGGGUGAGAUCCAAAACCUGCAAGACAUCAGCCCUCGACUCCUGGAGUUCGACGCCUGUGCUUUUCUGUGUGCAAAACCAACACCAUGGGGAUCCCCCACCCUCAGCUCUCAGGUUUAUUCCAGUGUUUCAUUUUUUCCAGGGCAAAUCUGUUUCACCAAGAUCAAAGUUAAUCUUCAUAAACUGAAAAUUCAGAUGAAUUAAAUCUCACAUAAACAUAUUUUAAUCCAUCCAUCCAUUCUCUUCCACUCAUCCUUGUCAGGAUUGUAAGGAUGGCUGCAGCCUAUCCCAGCCACCAGGGUGGGAGGCGGGGUACACCCUUGCCAGUCUGUCACAAUGCCAACACAGAGACAGACAACUAUUUACACCUAUGGGUAAUUUAGAUUCACCAGUUGACCUAACUCCACUAACUGCAUGUCUUUAGACCAGGGGAGGGCGCUAGAGUGCCCAGAGAGAACCCACACAGACACAUGCAAACUCCACACAGAGAGGCCGUGGCAUGGUGGUGAAGUUAAAUGCACGACCUUCCUUCUGUGAGGCAACAGUGCUAACCACCACAUAUUUAACCUGCGAGGAAAGUGAGAGCAUUUUCACAUCACAGCAGAAACAUCUGGACCUGCAUCCUGAUGCUGUUCGUGGAUAUCCUGAAGACCGAUAACGAGGCUCCUCCAGAAAAGUUCAAAUAAUUUGCUUCAAUAUCGAGUCAUCUGUAUAUUAAACACCAGCUGUUUGUGUCACAUGUUUGGAAGUAUACUAGAAU